UGUAAAUUAAAUUAAAAAUAUUGGUUUCCAUUGUCACGUGACUUCUAACGUCAUCCGUGGUCGUGCGUGUCGACGUUCAGCUUUCCGCCAUCUUGUUAUACCGCAUGGAUGAACUCGGCGUGGUAAAACGGGAAUCAAGAAAAUUGGAUGGGGUACAGCUGAACAACAAUUAUGACAGGUUUUGAAUAAACCAGUCACAUGAAAAACAUUAAUGCCGAAUUUUUGCGCAUCACUACCCUACAUUUAAAAUCGAGAAUUAUGGCCUCUUUGGACAGACAGAGCUCUUAGCUUCUCCAGGUUAUUAGGAGCAAAGGUGGAGUCCUCCA